rnacentral:rRNA from 1 species
UCGAGAAUCUUCGGCAAUGAGCGCAAGCUUGACCGAGCGACGCCGCGUGGGUGAUGAAGGCCUUCGGGUCGUAAAGCCCUGUCGUAGGGAAAGAACUGGUUGCAGGCUAAUAUCCUGCAGCCUUGACGGUACCCUACAAGAAAGCACCGGCUAACUCCGUGCCAGCAGCCGCGGUAAUACGGAGGGUGCAAGCGUUGUUCGGAAUUACUGGGCGUAAAGGGCGUGUAGGCGGCCUACUAAGUCAGACGUGAAAUCCCCCGGCUUAACCUGGGAACUGCGUCUGAUACUGGAAGGCUUGAGUAUGGGAGAGGGAUGUAGAAUUCCAGGUGUAGCGGUGAAAUGCGUAGAUAUCUGGAGGAAUACCGGUGGCGAAGGCGGCAUCCUGGACCAUUACUGACGCUGAGGCGCGAAAGCUAGGGGAGCAAACGGGAUUAGAUACCCACGUAGUCCCUGAGCGGGCUGGCAAGGCGCAU